CGCCCGUAGCAAUACGGGAGUGGCAGACGGGUGAGUAACGCGUGGGAAUCUACCCAGUGGUACGGAACAACCAAGGGAAACUUUGGCUAAUACCGUAUAAGCCCUUCGGGGGAAAGAUUUAUCGCCAUUGGAUGAGCCCGCGUCGGAUUAGCUAGUUGGUAGGGUAACGGCCUACCAAGGCGACGAUCCGUAGCUGGUCUGAGAGGAUGAUCAGCCACACUGGGACUGAGACACGGCCCAG
rnacentral:rRNA from 1 species